rnacentral:hammerhead_ribozyme from 1 species
AUCCAUCUGACGAGUCCCAAAUGAGACGAAACCCGCGUCAAACUGGAU